AGACUCCGGGUGUGCUUUUCCUUGCAAGUCGAACGGUGAAAGCGGAGCUUGCUCUGCUGGAUCAGUGGCGAACGGGUGAGUAACACGUGAGCAAUCUGCCCCUGACUCUGGGAUAAGCGCUGGAAACGGCGUCUAAUACCGGAUACGAGCUGCGAAGGCAUCUUCAGCAGCUGGAAAGAAUUUCGGUCAGGGAUGAGCUCGCGGCCUAUCAGCUUGUUGGUGAGGUAACGGCUCACCAAGGCGUCGACGGGUAGCCGGCCUGAGAGGGUGACCGGCCACACUGGGACUGAGACACGGCCCAGACUCCUACGGGAGGCAGCAGUGGGGAAUAUUGCACAAUGGGCGAAAGCCUGAUGCAGCAACGCCGCGUGAGGGACGACGGCCUUCGGGUUGUAAACCUCUUUUAGCAGGGAAGAAGCGAAAGUGACGGUACCUGCAGAAAAAGCGCCGGCUAACUACGUGCCAGCAGCCGCGGUAAUACGUAGGGCGCAAGCGUUAUCCGGAAUUAUUGGGCGUAAAGAGCUCGUAGGCGGUUUGUCGCGUCUGCUGUGAAAACCCGAGGCUCAACCUCGGGCCUGCAGUGGGUACGGGCAGACUAGAGUGCGGUAGGGGAGAUUGGAAUUCCUGGUGUAGCGGUGGAAUGCGCAGAUAUCAGGAGGAACACCGAUGGCGAAGGCAGAUCUCUGGGCCGUAACUGACGCUGAGGAGCGAAAGGGUGGGGAGCAAACAGGCUUAGAUACCCUGGUAGUCCACCCCGUAAACGUUGGGAACUAGUUGUGGGGACCAUUCCACGGGUUUCCGUGACGCAGCUAACGCAUUAAGUUUCCCCGCCUGGGGAGUACGGCCGCAAGGCUAAAACUCAAAGGGAAUUGACGGGGACCCGCACAAGCGGCGGAGGCGGAUAAUUCGAUGCAACGCGAAGAACCUUACCAAGGCUUGACAUAUA
rnacentral:rRNA from 1 species